rnacentral:lncRNA from 1 species
UUGGACCGACUCGCUGAGCUUCGCGGGGAUGGCUGACACUGCGAGCCUGCGGGCGCCGCUAUGCACCGAGCAAUUCGGCUCCGGAGCCCCACGCAGCUGCAGCGCUGCUGCCGAUGGGAGCCUGCAGUGGGACAGGGCUCAGCGCUGGGGCUGGUUCUCCCGGGCCUCGAUAACGAAACCCGGGCAGCAUGAGGGUGGAGGCAGGGGGCCCUGGGCAGCACUGACCACUCUUUCGGGCCUCAGAUCAGUGCUGCUGCCUCAGGGCUUCCCAGACAGCGUCAGUCCGGAUUACCUGCAGUACCAACUGUGGGAUUCCGUGCAGGUCCGGCCGGCCUAUUGCCAUGGGGGUUGGAGGGCGUAUGACUGGGGACCAAGGGAAUAGGCCCCUGUAAUCUGCAUUUGCACACUGAAAGGCAGGGUGCACUGCAGAGUUCUGACAGUCUUCCGGGUCCCACAGAACCAGUGAGAGCUGAUAUAGCUCAGUAGGCUCCUUGCUCUUGGGACCCAUCCUCACUCCACUUCUUUUCUCUCUAGGCCUUUGCUUCCAGCCUCUCCGGCUCCCUAGCGACCCAGGCAGUAUUGCAGGGCUUAGGGGUGGGCAACGCAAAAGCCUCAGUUUCAGCUGCCACGUCCACUUGGCUGGUGAAAGAUUCAACCGGCAUGUUGGGCCGCAUCAUCUUUGCCU